rnacentral:tRNA from 1 species
GCCAGCAUGGCUCAGUGGUUGAGCUUUGAAGUGUAAACAAGAAGAUCCGGGUUCCAUUCCCAGUAUUGGCA